rnacentral:rRNA from 1 species
CAAUAGCGUAUAUUAAAGUUGUUGCAGUUAAAAAGCUCGUAGUUGGAUUUCGGGGCAGCCUGGCUGGUCCGCCGCAAGGCGAGUACUGGUCAGCCGCCCUUCCUCUCGAAAGCCCCGACUGCUCUUCGUUGCAGGGGUCGGGUAGUUCGGGACGUUUACUUUGAAAAAAUUAGAGUGUUCAAGGCAGGCCUACGCCUGAAUACAUUAGCAUGGAAUAAUGGAAGAGGACCUCGGUCCUAUUUUGUUGGUUUCCAGGGCCGAAGUAAUGAUUAAGAGGGACAGUUGGGGGCAUUCGUAUUUAAUUGUCAGAGGUGAAAUUCUCGGAUUUAUGAAAGACGAACAACUGCGAAAGCAUUUGCCAAGGAUGUUUUCAUUAA